UACAUGAGGACACUGGGAGACAUGGGGACACUGUGACAUUAGGGAACACUGGGAUACAUAGCGUCCCCAUGUCUCACAGUGUCCCUAUGUAUCCAUGUGUUCCCUAGUGUCUCAGUGUCCCCUUGUCUCCCAGUGUCCCCUAGUGU